rnacentral:rRNA from 1 species
CAGCCGCCGCGGGAAUACAGAGGGUGCAAGCGUUAAUCGGAAUUACUGGGCGUAAAGCGCGCGUAGGUGGUUUGUUAAGUUGGAUGUGAAAUCCCCGGGCUCAACCUGGGAACUGCAUCCAAAACUGGCAGGCUAGAGUAGGGCAGAGGGUGGUGGAAUUUACUGUGUAGCGGUGAAAUGCGUAGAUAUAGGAAGGAACACCAGUGGCGAAGGCGACCACCUGGGCUCAUACUGACACUGAGGUGCGAAAGCGUGGGGAGCAAACAGGAUUAGAUACCCGAGUAGUCCCUGUCUCUUAUAC